rnacentral:rRNA from 1 species
UACAGAGGUCCCGAGCGUUGUUCGGAUUCAUUGGGCGUAAAGGGUGUGUAGGAGGCUAGGUAAGUCAGUUGUGAAAUCUCCGGGCUUAACUCGGAAAGGUCAACUGAUACUGUGCGGCUAGAGUGCAGAAGGGGCAACUGGAAUUCUCGGUGUAGCGGUGAAAUGCGUAGAUAUCGAGAGGAACACCUGCGGCGAAGGCGGGUUGCUGGGCUGACACUGACGCUGAUGCGCGAAAGCCAGGGGAGCGAACGGG